rnacentral:rRNA from 1 species
ACGCUCGACACCUACGGGGCAGCAGUGGGGAAUAUUGCACAAUGGGGGAAACCCUGAUGCAGCGACGCCGCGUGAAGGAUGAAGUAUUUCGGUAUGUAAACUUCUAUCAGCAGGGAAGAAAGUGACGGUACCUGACUAAGAAGCCCCGGCUAACUACGUGCUAGCAGCCGCGGUAAUCUGAGCGGGCUGGCAAGGC